CCGGUUGGCUGCUGUGGCAGCGGGAGCGCGCCUCUGUCGGAAAAAGAGAGAGAGAGAGAGAAGCCGAGAUCUCGGUGUGACAGCUCAGAGCUGUCCACGUCAACACACCGAGCAGGCACCGCGGCGGCGAUGGACUCCGCGUCUCUGCAACCUUCCCUCUACACAGUGAAAGCUGUUUUCAUUCUUGACAAUGAUGGCAACAGACUUCUGUCUAAGUACUAUGACCCGGAGCUUUACCCCUCCAUGAAGGAGCAGAAGAACUUCGAGAGGAAUGUUUUCAACAAGACCCACAAAGCAGACAACGAGAUAGCUUUCCUGGAGGGACUGACCAUUGUCUAUAAGGGGAGUAUAGAUCUCUUCUUCUAUGUGGUGGGAAGUGCUCAGGAGAAUGAGCUGAUGUUAAUGUCAGUACUGAACUGCCUAUUUGACUCCCUCAGUCACAUCCUUAGGAAAAAUGUGGAGCGGAGGUGUUUACUGGAUAACAUGGAUGGAGUGUUCCUGGUCGUGGACGAAAUCAUUGAUGGAGGGGUGAUUCUGGAGAGUGACCCCCAGCAGGUCCUACAGAAGGUCAACUACAGGCUAAUGUCAGAACCAGCCUAUGGCUUCGUCCUGUUUGAUUACAUCACUGGUAACCUAGAGGGACAGACAGACAAGAGCCAGCUGCUGUAGACAGACAGAGAGACAGAGGGCGGAUGAAAACCCAUUAUCUGAACAAAGCGUUGCCCAGGUUUUGCAGUCGGCCAAGGAGCAGAUCAAGUGGUCCAUACUGAAAUGACACGGACCAGACGAAAAAUAUUGUCCCAGAGAAAAUUUGUAGUCCCAAAGCUAUUUUUGUAGUAACAGACUAAAGGAAGCUCAUGACAAGGCUGUUGGACAGUAAGCAGCUUUAUAUUACAAUUAACCAGUCGUACAUAGAGUUUUAUUUCUCUGUGCACUGGCAUGUUGUUUCUUUGUGCUUGGCGUGAUUAAUUUAAUAGAUUUGAGAGUGAUGGUCGUCCAUACUCAUGUGGAGAUGUCAUUUACAUUUAACAGGCCAAAUGACCCCAGGCAAUUCACUCAAACGUGUCUCAGAAGACAGGAGUAGAGUCCAUCUAUGCUUCUGUUUCAAACUGGGCAGUUGUCAAGCACAGUAUGCCAAUGAAAAAUCUGGAAGCUUUGUUUGUUACUUUUACUUUGGUGGAGCACAAACUUCCAAUCUCAUUCAGUGAAAUGUUUGUUGUGUAAUGUGCAAACAUUUUCAAAUUACAUAGUCACAGUCCAUAUUAUUUUUGAACCGUCUUGUUACCAACAUUUACCAAAAUCACACAAGGCUGCGUCCUGUGAAUUGUUACAGUUUGUGAGUCAGUAUUUUACGCGAACAUUAAAAUCAACAAGAAUUAUUUGGCAAAUAAGAAUGAACACAACACAAGGGUGGUGAUCAAUUCACACUUCACUCGUGUACUGAACUGCUCAGUCUGAUAAAUUUGCUGUUGCUCUGACUGUGUGCAGGAUCCUCAAACGAUAUGAACCUGCUUUUUAACGUUUAUUUAAAGACUGCACAUGAAUGUAAUGUUACCUAAUGAAAUUAAACAAAAAGCAGUAUAUGUAAGAGGCAAUAUGUUACUGUUGCACUAGAACUUUUAUUAUUAAAUGGAAUUCCCUCAUGAAGGUAAAUUUAUAUCUGUACAUAUAAUCCGUUUUAAAUGAAAGGGACCUUAAAGAAUAAAAAAUGGUUUGCAGAUUUUUGUGGCCAGAAUUAUAAAGAAUUAUGUCUAUUUUAUUGGUAAGUUUGUAGUCAAUUUGUUGACAGAUAUUAAAUAUCUCAGUUGGGGAAAAAGGAGAUAAAAGCCAAAGACAAAUUGAUCACUUUGUUUACAUUGAUUGAAUGGUAAGAAGCCGCUUUUUUGUCUAUCCACCAUUUGUGAGAGUGAUAAUAAAACUGUAUAACAGU